rnacentral:rRNA from 1 species
UGGGGAAUAUUGGACAAUGGGCGAAAGCCUGAUCCAGCCAUGCCGCGUGUGUGAAGAAGGUCUUCGGAUUGUAAAGCACUUUAAGUUGGGAGGAAGGGCAGUUACCUAAUACGUAUCUGUUUUGACGUUACCGACAGAAUAAGCACCGGCUAACUCUGUGCCAGCAGCCGCGGUAAUACAGAGGGUGCAAGCGUUAAUCGGAAUUACUGGGCGUAAAGCGCGCGUAGGUGGUUUGUUAAGUUGGAUGUGAAAUCCCCGGGCUCAACCUGGGAACUGCAUUCAAAACUGACAAGCUAGAGUAUGGUAGAGGGUGGUGGAAUUUCCUGUGUAGCGGUGAAAUGCGUAGAUAUAGGAAGGAACACCAGUGGCGAAGGCGACCACCUGGACUGAUACUGACACUGAGGUGCGAAAGCGUGGGGAGCAAACAGGAUUAGAUACCCCCGUAGUCCCUGAG